rnacentral:rRNA from 1 species
UACGUAGGGGGCAAGCGUUGUCCGGAAUCAUUGGGCGUAAAGAGCGUGUAGGCGGCCCGGUAAGUCCGCUGUGAAAGUCCAGGGCUCAACCCUGGAAUGCCGGUGGAUACUGUCGGGCUCGAAUCCGGAAGAGGUGAGUGGAAUUCCGGGUGUAGUGGUGGAAUGCGUAGAUAUCAGGAGGAACACCAAUAGCGAAGGCAGCUCGCUGGGACGUUACUGUCACUGAGGCGCGAAAGCGUGGGGAGCGAACAGG